rnacentral:rRNA from 1 species
CCUACGGGAGGCAGCAGUGAGGAAUAUUGGUCAAUGGACGAGAGUCUGAACCAGCCAAGUAGCGUGAAGGAUGACUGCCCUAUGGGUUGUAAACUUCUUUUAUAUGGGAAUAAAAUGUUCCACGUGUGGGAUUUUGUAUGUACCAUAUGAAUAAGGAUCGGCUAACUCCGUGCCAGCAGCCGCGGUAAUACGGAGGAUCCGAGCGUUAUCCGGAUGUAUUGGGUUUAAAGGGAGCGUAGGGGGAUUGUUAAGUCAGUUGUGAAAGUUUGCGGCUCAACCGUAAAAUUGCAGUUGAAACUGGCAGUCUUGAGUACAGUAGAGGUGAGCGGAAUUCGUGGUGUAGCGGUGAAAUGCUUAGAUAUCACGAAGAACUCCGAUUGCGAAGGCAGCUCACUGGACUGCAACUGACACUGAGGCUCGAAAGUGUGGGUAUCAAACAGGAUUAGAUACCCGAGUAGUC